rnacentral:rRNA from 1 species
ACGACUCUCGGCAACGGAUAUCUCGGCUCACGCAUCGAUGAAGAACGUAGCAAAAUGCGAUACUUGGUGUGAAUUGCAGAAUCCCGUGAACCAUCGGGUUUUUGAACGCAAGUUGCGCCCGAAGCCAUCCGGUUGGGGCACGCCUGCCUGGGCGUCUCGCAUC